AUUGAACGCUGGCGGCAUGCCUAACACAUGCAAGUCGAACGGCAGCACGGCAGUAGCAAUACUGUGGGUGGCGAGUGGCGGACGGGUGAGGAAUACGUCGGAAUCUGCCCAGUCGUGGGGGAUAACUAGCCGAAAGGUUAGCUAAUACCGCAUACGACCGAGAGGUGAAAGCGGGGGACCGCAAGGCCUCGCGCGAUUGGAUGAGCCGACGUCGGAUUAGCUAGUUGGAGGGGUAAAGGCCCACCAAGGCGACGAUCCGUAGCUGGUCUGAGAGGAUGAUCAGCCACACUGGAACUGAGACACGGUCCAGACUCCUACGGGAGGCAGCAGUGGGGAAUAUUGGACAAUGGGCGCAAGCCUGAUCCAGCAAUGCCGCGUGUGUGAAGAAGGCCUU
rnacentral:rRNA from 1 species